GUCGCAGAAGGCAGCGGGGCUUUCCACACCUUCCUGGGUGGAUCCAACAGUACCUCUGUUUAGGGAGGAGAGAGAAGAGGGGAGUCAUGCACACAUUUGUUUGGUAAAGCUUAUAUACUCCUGUCCUCCAGGCGGUUCUAGUUCCCCAGAAUGCCCCUCCUCUGGGGUAGGUAAUGUGGCUGGAAGGGGACACCCUAAGCUAUUUCAGGGUUUCAAAUUCCCGUUUCACCAGUGGUAAUGAACUGUGUGUGUCCUUCCCUGAGACACAAGGUUUUGCCUCUGACCAAAAUGUCACAAAAAGAAAGUUUACACCCUCCAGACAACGUGUGUCGAGUAAACAACAUGGAAUGAACUUCCGUGGAAACACCACCCCACGAAGAAACACCGGAAUCUAAUGUUAGUCGAGAUACAGCGCGUUGAUAUCUUUUGCUGACGAGAGACAAAGCUGAUAGAAGGGAGGAUAAGGUAAGGAUCAGACUCGAGGCUUUCUGAAAGCCAGGACUUCAGGAGAACUCCAGAAGAAAAACAUACCACGUGGCCUCAUGUUAGGGAAAUGUAGCAGUUGGUUUAGAAAAUGCCUCCAGUGUGGUGAUGAAUCAGGCAAAUUGGGGGACUCAGUAAUUGAACAAAACCCAGAGUCAUUGGGUAGAAUGGACUCCAGUUGUUCAUGCAGCCUGACGUCCAUUCGUCUUCCCCUUUCAGAUUAUACCAUUUGGAGUUUGCUUUGGGGCAGUUGAUUCUCUCCCGUGCUCAGCCACGCCAUUCCCGUGGUAUUGACCCUUGUCUCUCCUCUUAGGAUUGGAGAGGGCCAAUAAUCCCACCUCACCCAUUUCUCUCAACCACGACUGGACAUGUGAUGGGCAGAAAAUUAGAUAGAACCAGCAAGAGCUGUAGUUUCUAGAGCUUCUGGGCAUGGGGGGAAGGGAAGAUUCUUUCCUCCUUGAUACCACUCCGGGGGAGCCAUUUUUUCUUGGUCUGUUUGAACUACAAUAUGAAGACUGGAGUAGUGUCCUUCCUACUAAAAUAAAAGGCCCUGGAAUUGCCAGUGGAAACCCACUCAAGGCCUGAAGAAGAAGCUGAUGCUGUGGAAAGUACAGAGGAAAAAGUGAAGAGAAACAAAGCUGGUCUUCGAUGACACUAGAUCAAGCUGUACCUGAAGCAGUCCUGCCCACCACCUUUUCAGUGAUGCAAGUCUACACAUUCCAGGAUUCCUCAAGACACUUUGAAUUGGAAUUCUAUCAUUUUCAGUGGAAGGAUUUGUGACUUCUCCUUUGCUUUCAUCAGAUUAACACUGAUGGAUGAAUGCCCUUUCAACAAGUUAUGGUGGGAAAAUGGGACCGUGCAGUGGG
rnacentral:lncRNA from 1 species